rnacentral:rRNA from 1 species
CCUACGGGUGGCUGCAGUGGGGAAUAUUGGACAAUGGGGGCAACCCUGAUCCAGCCAUGCCGCGUGUGUGAAGAAGGCCCUCGGGUUGUAAAGCACUUUCAGUGAGGAAGAACGCCUGGUGGUUAAUACCCAUCAGGAAAGACAUCACUCACAGAAGAAGCACCGGCUAACUCCGUGCCAGCAGCCGCGGUAAUACGGAGGGUGCGAGCGUUAAUCGGAAUUACUGGGCGUAAAGCGCGCGUAGGUGGCUUGAUAAGCCGGUUGGGAAAGCCCCGGGCUCAACCUGGGAACGGCAUCCGGAACUGUCAAGCUAGAGUGCAGGAGAGGAAGGUAGAAUUCCCGGUGUAGCGGUGAAAUGCGUAGAGAUCGGGAGGAAUACCAGUGGCGAAGGCGGCUUUCUGGACUGACACUGACACUGAGGUGCGAAAGCGUGGGUAGCAAACAGGAUUAGAUACCCGGGUAGUC